rnacentral:rRNA from 1 species
UACAGAGGGGGCAAGCGUUGUUCGGAAUUACUGGGCGUAAAGGGCGCGUAGGCGGCCGCCUAAGUCAGACGUGAAAUCCCUCGGCUUAACCGGGGAACUGCGUCUGAUACUGGAUGGCUAGAGGUUGGGAGAGGGAUGCGGAAUUCCAGGUGUAGCGGUGAAAUGCGUAGAUAUCGUGAGGAACACUAGUGGCGAAGGCGAGACUCUGGACAGUUCCUGACGCUGAGGCACGAAGGCCAGGGGAGCAAACGGG